rnacentral:rRNA from 1 species
AUGGGCAAGAUAUGCAGCCCGGUGAAAAUGCAAAUACUUGAUGGUGGCGAUAGAGGGGAACUAGACCUGCGACAUCUGAGUCGCGUCUCAUGCUUCGCUGCACUGACGGUGCAAAUCUCUUUGGCAGUUCCUCAUAAGUUCAUGAUUAUCAUUUGUAUUGCCUCAUCUUACUGUCUGAAAGUAGAAGCCUGCAAUGCAAUGCUAGGAUAUUAUGUUGUACCGCAAAACCUGAAAUGA